GGCGGACGGGUGAGUAAUACUUAGGAAUCUGCCCAGUAGUGGGGGACAACAUUCGGAAACGGAUGCUAAUACCGCAUACGCACUACGGUGGAAAGUGGGGGACCUUCGGGCCUCACGCUAUUGGAUGAGCCUAAGUCGGAUUAGCUUGUUGGUGAGGUAAUAGCUCACCAAGGCGACGAUCCGUAGCUGGUCUGAGAGGACGAUCAGCCACACUGGGACUGAGACACGGCCCAGACUCCUACGGGAGGCAGCAGUGGGGAAUAUUGGACAAUGAGCGCAAGCCUGAUCCAGCAAUGCCGCGUGUGUGAAGAAGGCCUGCGGGUUGUAAAGCACUUUCAGUANAGAAGAAAAGCCUAGGGUUAAUACCCCUGAGUCUUGACGUAACCUACAGAAGAAGCACCGGCUAACUCCGUGCCAGCAGCCGCGGUAAUACGGAGGGUGCGAGCGUUAAUCGGAAUUACUGGGCGUAA
rnacentral:rRNA from 1 species